GUCACAGCGCAGAAUGCAACGUGAGGAAGGUAAACUUCCACCAGGAGCCAGGUUGCAUUGUUGGGAAGUGUAGUCCCGGAAUGAAGGUGGACAGUGAGCUACCGACUGCCGGAGAGGCCCAGUUUCACCAAAUACAAACUUGCAUCAGGGAAACCAAAUGGAAACAGCUUUGGAAAGGAUUGACUUUGCACCUGCGGUGGGGCAGAGGAGCAAGACAGUUGUCCUGGUGUCUAGAGUGCGCCUGAUCAUUUCAGCACUCGAAGUCAGAUGUUUUCCCUAUGGGCUCAGAUAAUUCAAAUACGACUUGGAAGAAUGGGAGCCUCAAAGAGUUUCACACAUCUCAAGUUAUAUAUUUGCAUACCUAUACAAACAUGGAAUUAAUAAGACAAAAGACAGAGGUAUCAUGCAGACAAAUUUCAAGGCUGUUUCAGCCAGAUGUGAGAGUAAGGAUGUGGAGCAAUACAAGGUAAUGAAGAUAAAUUUUAAAAUAUUAAAAUGCCAAUAAACGUAAAAUUACAGUGUGGUAGAGAUCCAUUUUGCUUUGUCUAGUAAGGAUAACCAGCACUACUAAACCUAAAAAUAUAACCUUUGCAGAUCUCGUUGAAAAUGUUAUUCUGCUAUUAGCAUUAAAAUUAUUUUAAAGGGGCUGUUAGAGUUUUCAUAUUCUCUCAAAAGGAACUUGCAUUAAGUUACAAUAUCUUUAUUAAUUAGCCUUUAACACUAAAUA